rnacentral:rRNA from 1 species
GACGUAGGGCGCGAGCGUUGUCCGGAUUUAUUGGGCGUAAAGAGCUCGUAGGCGGCUUGUUGCGUCGUCCGUGAAAACCCGCAGCUCAACUGCGGGCUUGCGGACGAUACGGGCAGGCUGGAGUUCGGUAGGGGAGACUGGAAUUCCUGGUGUAGCGGUGAAAUGCGCAGAUAUCAGGAGGAACACCGGUGGCGAAGGCGGGUCUCUGGGCCGAUACUGACGCUGAGGAGCGAAAGCGUGGGGAGCGAACAGG